rnacentral:rRNA from 1 species
GUGUCAGCAGCCGUGGUAAUACGUAGGGUGCGAGCGUUAAUCGGAAUUACUGGGCGUAAAGCGUGCGCAGGCGGUUAUGUAAGACAGAUGUGAAAUCCCCGGGCUCAACCUGGGAACUGCAUUUGUGACUGCAUGGCUAGAGUACGGUAGAGGGGGAUGGAAUUCCGCGUGUAGCAGUGAAAUGCGUAGAUAUGCGGAGGAACACCGAUGGCGAAGGCAAUCCCCUGGACCUGUACUGACGCUCAUGCACGAAAGCGUGGGGAGCAAACAGGAUAGAUACCCCGGUAGUCC